rnacentral:rRNA from 1 species
AACGAACGCUGGCGGCAGGCUUAACACAUGCAAGUCGAACGCCCCGCAAGGGGAGUGGCAGACGGGUGAGUAACGCGUGGGAACGUACCCUUUACUACGGAAUAGCUCCGGGAAACUGGAAUUAAUACCGUAUGUGCCCUUCGGGGGAAAGAUUUAUCGGUAAAGGAUCGGCCCGCGUUGGAUUAGCUAGUUGGUGGGGUAAAGGCCUACCAAGGCGACGAUCCAUAGCUGGUCUGAGAGGAUGAUCAGCCACAUUGGGACUGAGACACGGCCCAAACUCCUACGGGAGGCAGCAGUGGGGGAUAUUGGACAAUGGGCGCAAGCCUGAUCCAGCCAUGCCGCGUGAGUGAUGAAGGUCUUAGGAUUGUAAAGCUCUUUCACCGGGGAAGAUAAUGACGGUACCCGGAGAAGAAGCCCCGGCUAACUUCGUGCCAGCCGCCGCCGUAA